CCUACGGGUGGCUGCAGUGGGGAAUAUUGGGCAAUGGGCGCAAGUCUGACCCAGCAACGCCGCGUGAAGGAAGAAGGCCUUCGGGUUGUAAACUUCUUUUGUCAGGGACGAAGUAAGUGACGGUACCUGACGAAUAAGCUACGGCUAACUACGUGCCAGCAGCCGCGGUAAUACGUAGGGGGCAAGCGUUAUUCGGAUUUACUGGGGGUAAAGGGUGCGUAGGCGGGGGAGCAAGUCAGAUGUGAAAACCACGGGCUUAACCUGGGGUCUGCAUUUAAAACUGUUUUUCUUGAGUGCAGGAGAGGCAAGCGGAAUUCCGAGUGUAGCGGUGGAAUGCGUAGAUAUAAGGAGGAACACCAGAGGCGAAGGCGGAUUACUGGACAGUAACUGACGCUGAGGCGCGAAAGCGUGGGGAGCAAACAGGAUUAGAUACCCGGGUAGUC
rnacentral:rRNA from 1 species